rnacentral:rRNA from 1 species
UACUGCUAAGACUGGAUAGGAGACAAGAAGGCAUCUUCUUGUUUUUAAAAGACCUAGCAAUAGGUAUGCUUAGGGAGGAGCUUGCGUCACAUUAGUUAGUUGGUGGGGUAAAGGCCUACCAAGACUAUGAUGUGUAGCCGGGCUGAGAGGUUGAACGGCCACAUUGGGACUGAGACACGGCCCAAACUCCUACGGGAGGCAGCAGUAGGGAAUUUUCGGCAAUGGAGGAAACUCUGACCGAGCAACGCCGCGUGAACGAUGAAGUAUUUCGGUACGUAAAGUUCUUUUAUUAGGGAAGAAUAAAUGAUGGAAAAAUCAUUCUGACGGUACCUAAUGAAUAAGCCCCGGCUAACUAUGUGCCAGCAGCCGCGGUAAUACAUAGGGGGCAAGCGUUAUCCGGAAUUAUUGGGCGUAAAGGGUGCGUAGGCGGUUAAAUAAGUUUAUGGUCUAAGUGCAAUGCUCAACAUUGUGAUGCUAUAAAAACUGUUUAGCUAGAGUAAGAUAGAGGCAAGUGGAAUUCCAUGUGUAGUGGUAAAAUGCGUAAAUAUAUGGAGGAACACCAGUAGCGAAGGCGGCUUGCUGGGUCUUUACUGACGCUGAGGCACGAAAGCGUGGGGAGCAAACAGGAUUAGAUACCCUGGUAGUCCACGCCGUAAACGAUGAGUACUAAACGUUGGGUAAAACCAGUGUUGAAGUUAACACAUUAAGUACUCCGCCUGAGUAGUACGUACGCAAGUAUGAAACUUAAAGGAAUUGACGGGACUCCGCACAAGCGGUGGAUCAUGUUGUUUAAUUCGAAGGUACCCGAAAAACCUCACCAGGUCUUGACAUGCUUCUGCAAAGCUGUAGAAACACAGUGGAGGUUAUCAGUUGCACAGGUGGUGCAUGGUUGUCGUCAGCUCGUGUCGUGAGAUGUUGGGUUAAGUCCCGCAACGAGCGCAACCCUUAUUGUUAGUUACCAGCACGUAAUGGUGGGGACUUUAGCAAGACUGCCAGUGAUAAAUUGGAGGAAGGUGGGGACGACGUCAAAUCAUCAUGCCCCUUAUGACCUGGGCUACAAACGUGAUACAAUGGCUGUUACAAAGGGUAGCUGAAGCGCAAGUUUUUGGCGAAUCUCAAAAAAACAGUCUCAGUUCGGAUUGAAGUCUGCAACUCGACUUCAUGAAGUUGGAAUCGCUAGUAAUCGCGAAUCAGCAUGUCGCGGUGAAUACGUUCUCGGGGUUUGUACACACCGCCCGUCAAACCACGAAAGUUGGCAAUACCCAAAGCCGGCGGCCUAACUUCGCAAGAAGAGGGAACCGUCUAAGGUAGGGUCGAUGAUUGGGGUUAAGUCGUAACAAG